AGAAAACCAUAGGAGAGGGGCUGUCCAUAUUUGCUGCAUGAAAGAUUAUGGUGUUGGCCAUGACCCUGGAACUGCUAUGCAAGCAACCAGCUUCGUAAUUUCUACUUGGUUAGAUGUUACCAGGGAAGAUUCUACCUAAAAUGCGAACAUAUCAGUUUGCGCAUAAGAGGAUCGUAUAAUCAGAACUGUGGUUUUCCCAGUGGUCAUGCACGGAUAUGAGAGUUGGACCAUAAAGAAGGCUGAGCACCAGAGAAUUGAUGCUUUUGAACUGUGGUGUUGGAGAAGACUCUUGAGAGUCCCUUUGACUGGAAGGAGAUCCAACCAGUCCAUCCUAAAGGAAAUCAACCCUGAGUAUUCAUUGGAAGGACUGAUGCUGAAGCUGAAGCUCCAAUACUUUGGCCACCUGAUGGGAAGAACUGACUCAUUAGGAAAGACCCUGAUGCUGGGAAAGAUUGAAGGUGGGAGGAGAAAAGAACCACAGAGGAUGAGAUGGCUGGAUGGCAUCACCAACUCCAUGGACAUGAGUUUGUGCAAGCUCCAGGAGAUGCUGAAGGACAGGGAAGCCUGGCGUGCUGCAGUCCAUGGAGCUGCAGAGUCUGACACAACUAACUGACUGAACAACAACACUUUGUUUGUCCUCCCUGUAGGCUCAGAGCUGCGCUGCUGGGACUGAACUCAUUUCCCACAAGCUGUUUUUGCUUCUCACUUGCAAGGCUCUGUGAAUGGAUCUCUGAAAGGCAAGCACCCUAGUCCCCAGGAGUGCAAAGGGUUUGACAACACAAUGAGUAGCAGCGGAUGCCUUUUCUCACCUAGAGGAAGCGAAGUCUCUUGCAAAAGACACUCCCAAGCUUGGAAUAGUUCUAAUCCAGUAAUCUCACCCUUGUCAGGUUAACAGAGAGGAUGAGACUGGGGAAGUGAUGCUUUUUAGGCUCUGUUCUUGUCCACAGCUUACAGCUCAGAGACCACUGCCAUAUGUGUAUCUUUUAAGAUCGGUUUGUGGGGGAUGGAGUUGCAAGCAGAUGAUGAGGGAAAACAUCAGAAUAAAACUUCUAAGGAUAAUGAAUCUCUUACCUGCAGAAUCACCUUGAAGUGUGCAUAUAUAUGCUAAAAUUUCAGAACCAAAUCUGUUCCUAAUCUUAGUGUGAUGAAGAAUAGGGCUAUAUCUCUUAGCCAGCAGAAUUCUGAUUACAUAGAUCCCUUCCUUAUCUUCCUGUAAUUGUACUUCCCUUGCUGGAGUUCCCAUGGUUGAUAUAUCCCAUUGAAUGCACAUUUAUGGUAUGGUGUGCUUUUCUUUUGGUCUUUAUUUAAGUUUAGAGAUAAAGACAUAUUAAUACUUUGGGCACAAAGACCCUGAUGCUGGGAAAGAUUGAGGGUAGAAGGGAGUGAUAGAGGAUAAAACAAUUAGAUGGCAUCCCUGCCUCAAUGGACACGAGUUUGAGCAAAUAGUGAAGGACAGGGAGGCCUGGUGGGCUACAGUCCAUGGGGUGGCAGAGAGUCAGACACUUCUGAGCAACUGAGCACACACACACAUACACAACACUGGCUAAACCCUGAACCAAGUGCUAGGAUUCCAUAGUGAACAAAGCUACAGUCUCUUACAGCCAUAGCAAAAUAGUGAGACGAAUGAGUAGUCAUGAACUGUGGUCAGCCCCAUGGAUGAAAAGUCCAGGCUAUCACAAGAGCUGUAGCUGGGUAGCCGAUAAAGGCUAAAGAGUCAAAGAAGCUCGCCUCAGGAAGGAUCCUAUGGACUAAGAAGUGAAUGAUGAAGAAGUGAGUGCAACAUGGUGAUCGUUCUGGGUUACAGGGAGAACACGUGCAAAGGCCCUGAAUCAGAAGGAAUUUGGCACAUUGGAGGAACUCAAAGUGAGAGAGUGUGACCAGAAAAUGGAGAGCGAAGAAAAAACAGGAGAUGACAUUAGAGGAGUUUGGAGGGCGGGGCACUGGCCACACCAAAUAGAACCAAAGAUGUUGGGUUUUUAUCUUUAAAUCAAUGAGAUACCAUUGAAAGGUUAAUAAUAAAGGUUAAUAAUAAUAAGGAAGAAAUUUGUUAGGAAAAGAU
ensembl:lncRNA